AUUGAACGCUGGCGGCAUGCCUUACACAUGCAAGUCGAACGGCAGCACGGGUGCUUGCACCUGGUGGCGAGUGGCGAACGGGUGAGUAAUACAUCGGAACAUGUCCUGUAGUGGGGGAUAGCCCGGCGAAAGCCGGAUUAAUACCGCAUACGAUCUACGGAUGAAAGCGGGGGACCUUCGGGCCUCGCGCUAUCGGGUUGGCCGAUGGCUGAUUAGCUAGUUGGUGGGGUAAAGGCCUACCAAGGCGACGAUCAGUAGCCGGUCUGAGAGGACGACCAGCCACACUGGGACUGAGACACGGCCCAGACUCCUACGGGAGGCAGCAGUGGGGAAUUUUGGACAAUGGGCGAAAGCCUGAUCCAGCAAUGCCGCGUGUGUGAAGAAGGCCUUCGGGUUGUAAAGCACUUUUGUCCGGAAAGAAAUCCUUGGCCCUAAUACGGUCGGGGGAUGACGGUACCGGAAGAAUAAGCACCGGCUAACUACGUG
rnacentral:rRNA from 1 species